rnacentral:lncRNA from 1 species
CAGAACUUGCAAAUCUGAUUCUCUCUAAGAAUAGAGCCACCAAUGUAACUAGUAUCAAGCUUAAAGGUGUUGCGGUGAGUUUUCAGUCAACUAAAUUGAAACUUGUAAUUUGGUAAAUUUCUCAUCAAUGGUAACACUGUAAACUUCAUCAGAUUGGAAAUGCAGACUUGGAUGAUAAUUUGACUCUAAGAGCAUCAUAUGACUACUAUUGGAUGCAUGCUAUGAUUUCGGGAAAAGCUUAUAAAGCCGUCAAGGAUAAGUGCGGCUUUAAUGGGACAUACACUGAAGACUGCCAAAAUGCCAUGGACUUAGCCACCCAAGAAAAAGGAAAUAUUGAUGACUAUGACAUCUAUGCACCAAUAUGCCAAGAUGCCUCAAACCCUUCUAAAUCAAGUGACUCGGUAUACAACAUCGUACAUAAAUUUCACAGAUUGACAGAUGUUUUAACUUCCAUUUCUAUAUGAAAUUUUGGUAUACUGGAACUUUUUGUUUACUAUUUCAGUUAGUGUUUGGUGAUCCAUGCACAAACCACUACGUCUCCUCUUACCUAAAUCGUCCUGAGGUCCAAAGGGCACUCCAUGCAAACACAACAGGGUUAGGCUACCCAUGGAUGGACUGUAGGUAUGUAUAUUGAAUAUCUGAAUAUCAUAUUUCCCUCAAAUUUAUGUGCAACGUCAGACCAUAUCUCUUGUGUGACCCUAUUAGCAAUCUGUUGGUUUCCUAAAGCCAUAUGAAAAGGUAGGUGCUUUAUGUACAAACAAUUACUUAUAUAAUCUGAAGGAACAGAAUACUUAUAUAUCUUUUCAUCACUCACUUCUCAAUAACAUUAAUUCUAAAAAGGUAGCAACAACCUCUUCCAGUUAACCAUCAAAGAGUAUGUGAACCACGAUUGCCAAGAAUUAUUCCAUUAGCACAACAUGCUGUAUGCAAAAAGGUAUAUUUAAGUCAACACUAAAAAAGGCGCAAUGCCACUCAAGCUAAUAUUCUUUUGUUUUCUCAAACACACUGGAGGGUAGACGGCUGUGUAUCUUUGUAGUUUGUAUUAAAAAGAAAAGAGGCCAAUAACCCUUACAACACAAAGCCACAAAUCCUGUAUUCUCAAACCUAUAUUCUGCCUGUCCAGCAGUCAACUAUUUGAAACCAUAAGAUAUUUAACCAAAGGUGCCCCUAGGGGCUUAGGUCACAUGCUGCAUAUCUAUAAGAUUGAGUAUGCACCAAGAUGCAUGUAUCCCGACUCAUCCUUGAUUGUUUCUAUAGAGUGUCAAUAUGGCUAUCACAUGCUGCAUACUCAGUCAUGUAUAAACAAGUUUAACUGUUGAGAAUUCGUUCAGCCUCAAGUAAAUCUCUUACUAGAUUAGCAAUUGGCACUAGGGGGAAGUCAACAGUACAACAUGUAUAUGAUUAAUUUAUAUGUUUCCUUCAAGCAGUCAGCAGAUAUUUGAUAAUUGGAAAGAUUCACCAGAGACAAUGCUGCCAUCAAUCAAGAAACUCAUUUCAAGUGGCACGAGAAUAUGGCUGUACAGGUACAUAUGUUCAGAUUUAUGUGUGUCAAAAUACCUUGCUCGGUGCGCUACAUCAUAACAUGACUUAAACUAUGCCUUUGUGUACCAGUGGUGAUAUGGAUGCAGUGUGCUCAUUCAUUUCAACACAAUAUGUGCUGGACAAUCUUGGGCUUCCUAUAGAAGCAGCUUGGCGUCCAUGGCGCGUCGACAAUGAGGUACAUAGCCCACUGUUCAUCAGAUGAAAGAUGGAAUAUCAGCAUUCAUGCCACCAGAAUCCUUUGGAUCAAGUUGUAUAUGUGUUCCCUAAAAAGAGCAAAAACAGAAGGAUGGUUCAUCAAGUUGCUUGACUGAUCUUGUGAUGAUCACUAGUCCCCCGAAGCGAUUUGAUAGUCGGGUUACUAAACUAUUAAAACAUAAAAUGGAAGUUUGAAGAUAAACUGGUUAUACGCACGCAAUUAACAUAAAUUGGUUAUAGCCGGCACACAAUUGCUGCAAAAGAGUGUGCAUGCCAAAAACAUCGUGAACGCAUUAUCCCAUCUAGCAAUAGCUGUGGACAAAAUAGCAACAUUUUCCUAACUCUCAACCAAUCGGCAGGUUGCUGGCUACGUCAUUGGGUAUAAAGGGCUGGUCUUCGUGACGGUCAGAGGAGCUGGGCACAUGGUGCCAUACUACCAGCCUCGCAGGGCAUUGGCAUUAUUCUCGUCAUUCCUCGAAGGGGAGCUCCCUCCACGCUGAUCGAUUAAGCUAGCAGGGUUUGUGAAUGCCAUUUACUCAUUUCCCACAGCCUAUGGAAUCAUAUGUUUUUACUAUACUUGUAGCUGGCCUUUAUUUUUUAUAUAAAUAUAUAAAACAAACCAAGCAGGGAGCUGACGAUUAUAUUAAUAAAAAAUGAGAUUGAGAAAGGGGAUCUGAUGGAGCAGUUCUUUUCUACUCAUUCUCCUAUAUAUGACAGACAGGUAUAGGUUUUAGGGAAAGGGACUGCAUUUCCUCAGUCAGUCUCAAGGAGAUGCUCUUAGAGUCUUAGUUCAACUUCCCUGCACAACACAAGCAUCGAGAAUUAUGUGAUUCUACCCUGAUUGUUUGGAGUGCAGCAAGGAGCCCAUCUAACUCUGGUUUGUCGCUAGCACAAGAAGAUAAGUUAGCACUAACCCUGAGCACAAUGUUGUAUUAUCCGUACCCAAAACUGAACAAUGUCAGUGCUAACGCCAUCACGGAGCCUGGAUUGGCAUCCAGAUAUCCGCGCAUCAAACGAAAAAAAGAGGGCGGGAUUCAGAACUUCGAAAUAGAGAAAAGGUUCCUCAAAAGAAGUGGGGGGGGGGGGGGGGGGGGGGGGGGGGGACAGAGAAGGCGAAGGGCUGGGGAGCGAUCUCGGAGUCAGGUCGCACUGCGAGAGUGAGUGAAGGAGGAGGGACAGGGAGGAGCGAACCUCGGAGAAUGGAUAGCGGCACGGCACGAGCCCGCGACGGACGACGAGGGAUGGCGACCGUGGAACGGCGCGUCGCCGACGCCGACCCCGUCUCGACUGUUGAUCGGUGUCUGGGGCUCUGCUGAGUAAAAUGUGGAGAACUGCCCGGUACUGCCUAAACUAAAGAGCACGUUGUCUCAUUUUUACAUUGCUCGACAAAGCGAUAUCGUCUCAUUAUUCUAACCUGAACUAUCUGCACCGACCAUUUACUGAAUUUUUC